UCCUUCGCAGCGCAAAGGUAGCGCGACAGACUUCUAAUCUGUAGGUUCAGGGUUCGAGUCCCUGGAUGGAA